rnacentral:rRNA from 1 species
GAUGAACGCUGGCGGCGUGCCUAAUACAUGCAAGUCGAGCGAACAGAUGAGGAGCUUGCUCCUCUGACGUUAGCGGCGGACGGGUGAGUAACACGUGGAUAACCUACCUAUAAGACUGGGAUAACUUCGGGAAACCGGAGCUAAUACCGGAUAAUAUAUUGAACCGCAUGGUUCAAUAGUGAAAGACGGUUUUGCUGUCACUUAUAGAUGGUUCCGCGCCGCAUUAGCUAGUUGGUAAGGUAACGGCUUACCAAGGCAACGAUGCGUAUCCGACCUGCGAGGGUGAUCGCCCACCUGGGAACGUAGACACGGUCCAGACGCCUACGGUAGGCAGCAGUAGGGAAUCGGCCGCAAUGGGCGAAAGCCUGACGGAGCAACGCCGCGUGAGUGAUGAAGGUCUUCGGAUCGUAAAACUCUGUUAUGAGUGAAGAACAAAUGUGUAAGUAACUAUGCACGUCUUGACGGUACCUAAUCAGAAAGCCACGGCUAACUACGUG